GUUCAUGAAGAGGUCUCAUAGAACAUACUGGAAUGUCAACUUGGAAUCAAAUAACUUCUGAACUUCAGUCUUAGGAGACAGGCAGAAUUUUUGAAGUUUAUCAUCCACUUGCAAAAAAAAAGAAGGAAAAGACCAUCAAGUUGUGUAAUUAAGUCAGCUGGAAUUAAUUAAAAUAGAUCAACGUGCAGUCCUUCCUGCCAUCCACUGUACAGCAGGAAAAGAAGAAACAUCUCUGAAAUAUCCUGUCUGGUCAUUUAGAAGGAAGAAAAUACAGAAGCAUCCAGAAGUCCCAGCUGAAAUCGUGCCUGCGUCGCUCUGCAGAGCUUUUACACCGAGUGGGAAAGAUGUGCAAGUGGGAGGGGAAGCAAAAAGAUGAAGUGACUUGGCCUAGAAUGAGAAGCAAUUCUCUCAGGAGGUGAGAGAUGAGAGGGGUCUGGUCUGGAAGCUGAACAGCCAUGCAGGCAGAGCCCUGGACGUGCAGGCAUUGGCUUCAGCUCUCAGUGGGCUUGUUAGCUCGGCUCCCAGGUAAUGCAAUCUCACAGCCUUCAGCUGAGAGCCAUUCUGCCAGCAAACAGAAUGAGCUUGCACCCACCUGUAUUGGUACUGAGGGCCAUAUUCUCACUGAGGGCAUUCUG